rnacentral:rRNA from 1 species
AACGAACGCUGGCGGCAGGCUUAACACAUGCAAGUCGAACGCCCCGCAAGGGGAGUGGCAGACGGGUGAGUAACGCGUGGGAAUCUACCCAGAACUUCGGAACAACUGAGGGAAACUUCAGCUAAUACCGGAUACGCCCUACGGGGGAAAGAUUUAUCGGUUUUGGAUGAGCCCGCGUUGGAUUAGCUAGUUGGUGGGGUAAUGGCCUACCAAGGCGACGAUCCAUAGCUGGUCUGAGAGGAUGAUCAGCCACACUGGGACUGAGACACGGCCCAAACUCCUACGGGAGGCAGCAGUGGGGAAUAUUGGACAAUGGGCGCAAGCCUGAUCCAGCCAUGCCGCGUGGGUGAUGAAGGCCCUAGGGUUGUAAAGCCCUUUCGGCGGGGAAGAUAAUGACGGUACCCGCAGAAGAAGCCCCGGCUAACUUCGUGCCAGCAGCCGCAGUAACAC